AUUGAACGCUGGCGGCAGGCCUAAUACAUGCAAGUCGAGCGAGCGGCGGACGGGUGAGUAAUGUCUGGGAAACUGCCUGAUGGAGGGGGAUAACUACUGGAAAAGGUAGCUAAUACCGCAUACCAUCAGAUGUGCCCAGGUGGGAUUAGCUAGUAGGUGGGGUAACGGCUCACCAAGGCGACGAUCCCUAGCAGGUCUGAGAGGAUGACCGGCCACACGGGAACUGAGACACGGUCCAGACUCCUACGGGAGGCAGCAGUAGGGAAUAUUGCGCAAUGGGCGCAAGCCUGAUGCAGCCAUGCCGCGUGUGUGAAGAAGGCCUUCGGGUUGUAAAGCACUUUUAGCGGGGAGGCGUUACCCACAGAAGAAGCACCGGCUAACUCCGUGCCAGCAGCCGCGGUAAUAC
rnacentral:rRNA from 1 species